UUCUGGUUGAUCCUGCCGGAGGUUACUGCUAUCGAGGUUCGACUAAGCCAUGCGAGUCGAAUGUAGCAAUACAUGGCGUACUGCUCAGUAACACGUGGAUAACCUACCCUUGAGACGGGGAUAAACCCGGGAAACUGGGUAUAAUACCCGAUAGAUCUCGACUGCUGGAAUGCAUCGAGCUCUAAAGCUCCGGCGCUCAAGGAUGGGUCUGCGGCCUAUCAGGUAGUAGUGGGUGUAGCGUACCUACUAGCCUACGACGGGUACGGGUUGUGAGAGCAAGAGCCCGGAGAUGGAUUCUGAGACACGAAUCCAGGCCCUACGGGGUGCAGCAGGCGCGAAAACUUUACAAUGCUGGAAACAGCGAUAAGGGGACCUCGAGUGCCAGGUUACAAAUCUGGCUGUCGCGAUGCCUAAAAAGCAUUGCAUAGCAAGGGCCGGGCAAGACCGGUGCCAGCCGCCGCGGUAACACCGGCGGCUCGAGUGGUAACCGUUAUUAUUGGGUCUAAAGGGUCUGUAGCCGGCCGGAUAAGUCUCUUGGGAAAUCUGGCAGCUUAACUGUCAGGCUUUCAGGAGAUACUGUCUGGCUCGAGGCCGGGAGAGGUGAGAGGUACUUCAGGGGUAGGGGUGAAAUCUUGUAAUCCUUGAAGGACCACCGGUGGCGAAGGCGUCUCACCAGAACGGACCUGACGGCAAGGGACGAAAGCUAGGGGCACGAACCGGAUUAGAUACCCGGGUAGUCCUAGCCGUAAACGAUACUCGCUAGGUGUCGGCCACGGUGCGACCGUUGUCGGUGCCGUAGGGAAGCCGUGAAGCGAGCCACCUGGGAAGUACGGCCGCAAGGCUGAAACUUAAAGGAAUUGGCGGGA
rnacentral:rRNA from 1 species